UCGGGUAUGGUGUAACGGCUAACAUUGCCGCCUCUCAUAGGGGAAUUGUUACAAUUGCGCGGCAGCUCGGGGUUCGAUUCCCCGUACCCGAA